GACGAACGCUGGCGGCGUGCCUAAUACAUGCAAGUAGAACGCUGAAGGAGGAGCUUGCUUCUCUGGAUGAGUUGCGAACGGGUGAGUAACGCGUAGGUAACCUGCCUGGUAGCGGGGGAUAACUAUUGGAAACGAUAGCUAAUACCGCAUAAUAGUAGAUGUUGCAUGACAUUUACUUAGAAGGUGCAAUUGCAUCACUACCAGAUGGACCUGCGUUGUAUUAGCUAGUUGGUGGGGUAACGGCUCACCAAGGCGACGAUACAUAGCCGACCUGAGAGGGUGAUCGGCCACACUGGGACUGAGACACGGCCCAGACUCCUACGGGAGGCAGCAGUAGGGAAUCUUCGGCAAUGGACGAAAGUCUGACCGAGCAACGCCGCGUGAGUGAAGAAGGUUUUCGGAUCGUAAAGCUCUGUUGUAAGAGAAGAACGAGUGUGAGAGUGGAAAGUUCACACUGUGACGGUAUCUUACCAGAAAGGGACGGCUAACUACGUG
rnacentral:rRNA from 1 species